UGGGCAACCUGCCCCUCUCUCUGGGAUAACCCCGGGAAACCGGAGCUAAUACCGGAUACUCCGGCUGGAUCGCAUGGUCCGGCCGGGAAAGGUCCGCCGGAGAGGGAUGGGCCCGCGGCCUAUCAGCUUGUUGGUGAGGUAACGGCUCACCAAGGCGUCGACGGGUAGCUGGUCUGAGAGGACGACCAGCCACACUGUAACUGAGAUACGGUCCAGACUCCUACGGGAGGCA
rnacentral:rRNA from 1 species